rnacentral:rRNA from 1 species
CCUACGGGAGGCAGCAGUGAGGAAUAUUGGUCAAUGGCCGCAGGGCUGAACCAGCCAAGUCGCGUGAGGGAUGACGGUCCUAUGGAUUGUAAACCUCUUUUGUCAGGGAGCAAAGGGCGCCACGUGUGGCGCUUUGCGAGUACCUGAAGAAAAAGCAUCGGCUAACUCCGUGCCAGCAGCCGCGGUAAUACGGAGGAUGCGAGCGUUAUCCGGAUUUAUUGGGUUUAAAGGGUGCGCAGGCGGAAUGUCAAGUCAGCGGUAAAAUUUCGGGGCUCAACCCCGUCGUGCCGUUGAAACUGGCGUUCUUGAGUGAGCGAGAAGUAUGCGGAAUGCGUGGUGUAGCGGUGAAAUGCAGAGAUAUCACGCAGAACUCCGAUUGCGAAGGCAGCAUACCGGCGCUCAACUGACGCUCAUGCACGAAAGCGUGGGUAUCGAACAGGAUUAGAUACCCCGGUAGUC